rnacentral:lncRNA from 13 species
ACUGGUGUCAUUCAUCAUAUUUCCAGGCACUUUAUUGCCUACUGUCUGCGAGCUUCAGGCUCUUGGAUAUGUUGCGAUGAUUUGAAGGGGAGAAUUGAUACAGUUAAGACCAAGACUACUAUUGUAAAUCCGCAUGCAGUAAUUUAUGUGCUCGAAUGAAAAUAUUUUCAAAUGAACAUAUAGAGAGUGUCAUGCCUUCCUGCAGAUGCUACUAGAGGUGGCUCCAGCGGCGGUUGCCUACGACUCGAGAGAUCAACGUACAAUUCUCCAGAAUGCCAAAGAAGUUGCAACGGCUAAUAAACAUUCCCGACAAAGGAUAAUUGAGAGGUCGUAAGAGAAUACUGAUAUCUAGAGAUACAUAUCGUUUAGAUACAGUUUCUGCGAUUAAGAACGUAAUUGAGCGUAGCGCGAUGAAAUCUAAAUCGGUGGGCGAGUAUCAAGAGUAAAAAUGCAAAUGCGCAAGUCAUUCAAAUAGUCUCUCGGUUUCCGUAUAAUUAUUAUUUGACGAAGAUAUUAAAACUAUGCGCGUUAAGCGCUUUUGAUAAGAAGCACUCAUAUAUACACACAUAUACAUAUAUAAAUAUAUAAAAUAUAUAUAAAAAUCUCUCUCUAGUCCAAAGCUGAACGUUUAACACGCCUAGUUUUAAGGUAUAUGCAUAUAUACUAUGUAUGAGAGAACGCGUCGGGAAUGUGUGCAUUCAGGUCGAAGUUAUUAUCAAGGCGUGUUCAGGAUCAUGCGUGUUCAAGAUAGUUCAAAAUGUUCCCCGAGAAUUAGAAUACUUACUGCAAACGUUUGCAUUUUACGUAAAGAAUCUCUCUUGAUUGAAAGAUGAAAAUUUUAUACGCCAUUUUUGUUUUAUUAAUAAUAAGUGAUAAUUUUCUUCAACCACACUCGCACAUUCCUACUAAAUUACAAUAAAAAUUUUCCCGUGCAAUAAAUAUCAAUAUAUUUUCUAUUAAGUUAUAGAAUUAUAUGCAGUCGAUUCGAAAGCGCGAUAAAUUCGUACGACACGUAUCUGGUUUCCUAUUACAGAUUCUGGAAAAAUGUGUGUUGAGAGACUGUCAAGUAUUUUUGGGUGCGUUCGAGGAGACGCUAUCAGCGCUAUCGUGUCAUUCUUGUAUUAUGUCUAUUCUUGUUUUACGUCUAAUGAACGAUAAAGAUAGAAUACAGUCUGUAGCGCUAAAUAGCGCUAAUAGCGUCUCUCCGAACGCACCCUAUGUCAUUGCGAUUGCGUAAACUGUAUGUAAACACACACACACACACACACCUGAAUAUACCCUAUUUUAAAUACAUGCAAAUGAGAGUAUUAUAUCCUAUGUAUUACAAAGCUCAAGGCUGGGCCCAAGAAAUCCAUAUAAAAAAAGGUAUAUAUUGUACAAAAAUAUAUUAUUUUAUUACAUGUUAUCUUUAUACAUAGUAUACAAAAUUCAGAAGAAAUAUUAUUGUUAGAUAAUAGAUAGUUGAUGUAAUGAGAAAGUGAUGAGUCAACAUAAAAUAUUUUAAAUGUUUGAAGUUACAAA